rnacentral:lncRNA from 1 species
GGGAACAAAGAAAUGGACAUCUUGGAAAUUAAGGAGGAAAGGAGGGGAGAUGGGAUCUUAGUGUUGGAAGUGAUUAAGCCUAAUAAGGCAAAAUCAACAUCUUACUCUUCAUUUUUCACACACUCCUCCCGUAGCCAACUUUAGUAAAAUGAAAAGAGAGAAAAGAGAGUAGAGAGAAAAAGAAAGGAAGAAAGAGGGAAAGAAAUAAAGAGGAGAGAGAGAGAGAGAAGAAAAUGAUGACUUUCUCCAUUUUCAUAUUCCUUCCCGUAGCCCAAUUUUAAGCAAGAGAGAAGAUAGAGGAAGAGAGGAAGAAGAAGAAGGAAAUGAAGAAAUAAAGAAGAAAAGAAAAAGAAAUCAAGAAAGGUAUUUUUCAAAAUCUUGAUAAUUUUAGUUUAUAGAUUUUAUGUAAAGAGUGCAUACUUAGGUAUGUAUUUAAUGAUUUAAACUUGUAUAAGCAUGAAUCAAGUGAGAGAAAUCAAGAAAUCAAAUGAAAAGAAAAAUCUGGAAAUUUUCAUAAAAAUUAGUUUACUACUUGAUUUUGUAAAAUCCAUAACUCUUUGUGUAUAAUGAGUUAGGAGAUGAGCUAUUUAUCAAAAGAAAGCUCUGGAAGUAAGCUAAAUGCAAAAAUUUGAAUCACCCAAAAAAUUCUUUGUAGAUUUUUCAUGGUGAUAGUUUGAGUGAAAUUGGUCCGAAGGACUUAUAGUCUGUAAAAAUCAGUUUUAUUAAGCUUUAUCGCGUGAGUUAUAAUUUUUAAUCCGACCGUUGGAUCGUUGUGAUUUUCGGAUAUGUUAUACAUAUAUAAGUUGAGUAUAUGCCUACAAAUUUUGAACCGUUAAAGAUUAAUUUAUGAUUUGUUAUGAAUUUUGUGAGGUGGCUGGCUUAGAAAUCUUCAAGCAGAAUUUUUCGGUAAAAAUAUCUCUCUAUGUUAGUCAUAAUUUGGGAAAACUUUCUUCUACAAAGUUGUAGAGAAUUAAAUUUUACAUGGAAGUGCAUAAGAUCUGUAUUUUUCUGAUAAAGGUGCUAAUUAUUAUGAAUUAUUAAAAUUUUUGAAUAUUAAAAUUUAUGAUUAAUUUAUCAGAAAAAUUAUUUGGGUUGAAAUAUUUUUACAGAAUGCUUAUAAUAUUAUCUUAGAAUUUUUGUAAAAUUUUGAUGAAUUAUUGAAAAGCAGAAGUAAUUAUUGUAUUUUUAAACUAUUUAUAGUUAGUUUGAAAAUAGAAGAAAUUCAUAGAAAAUUCUAUGAAUGAUGAAAAAUUAUGAAACUUGGUGAAAAAUGGUAUAAUAUUGUUUUAUAAUUUUUGGACAGUUUUGGAAAAUUUUUGAAUAACAAAAAUAUUUAUUAUAUUUUUAAGCUAUUUAUGGUUAGUUUAAAAAUAGAGGAAAUUCAUAGGAAAUUCUAUGAAUGGUAAAAAUUAUGAAUUUUGCUGAAAAUACUAUAAUAAUAUAAGAUUAAUAUUGAUGAUGUUUUAAUGAUAUAAAAGUAUGUGAAGUUAGUAUUUCUAUUUUGAAACUAUUAAAUGAUACUUUUUAUAAAUAGAAAUAAUUAUAGGAAAUUGUUGGAUAAUUAGAAAAAUGUGAAAAUUGUUUGAAAAAUUCAGAAUCAUAUUUUUAAUAUUUUUGAAGUGUUAGUAAGCUCAUGAGGUGUCGGGAUGUAAACGCACUAGUAACAAAUGAGUUAUGAUAAAAACAAAAAUAAUAUUCUUGUUAAAGAUGGUGAUAAUAUCAGAAUAGUGGAUUGUCAUAUAUGAGGUUUUAGAUUUCUCAAGUUUUAUUAUUCACUUCUAAAGUUUUGGAAUAUGAAUAAUGAUUUUAUGCGAUAAAUAGAGAUAACUUGAACGAAUAAUGAAUUGUUAGUUGGUUUAUAUGUUAUUCGAGAUGAAUAUGAUUUGGUGUUGAUCCGAUCCCUACUUUUAAUAGAAUUUAAAUUGUUCAUAGUAAGGUGUUGAUUUGAUUCUUACGUAAGAAGUCACUCAGUCUUUCAUUCAAUAAUUGUCACAGUAGUUAUUGCACAGCGACUCAUAUUAUUUGAUAUGAUAUAAUUAAACCAGUUGGCAGUAUUGUGAGUCUAUGUUAAUAAUUAUGAAUAAAUUGUUGAAAGAUUUAAAAUGUGUAAAUAAUUGAUAAAUAAAAGGGUGUUGAUUAAAGAUAAAUAUGAUAUACAGAUGUUUGUUCAAUUAUAUUUUUUUUACAAAAAUAAGUUUGGCAGGACUUGCCGACACUCUACUUUUUCUAAAGUAGUAUGGACCAUAACUGUAUUAUUAAACAAAUUUUGUUAAAACGUGUACAAGUUGGUUUAAUUUUCUCCAUGGGACCAUAAAUUUCACUACCAUUAUUAUAUACCUUAUGUGAUUAUUUUGUCAAAGCAGAUGUGCUAGUUGUUUACUAAAUUUUCAGUAUAAAUAGGUUGGCAGAUUGAGCCACUAAAGACACACCAUCACUACAUUGAAAAUAUAUAAUUCUUUUACUUCAAUAUUGUGAGUAUAAUAUUGUGAGUAUUUCUAUCGAGUGUAAUGUUACUCCAAGUGUAGAUAAAGAAUGCAAGCAUUGUUUAAGUUGAUCAAUUUCACAGAAAUCAGAAUCAAGUCACAUGCUAAAGGUAAGGGAUAUCAUUAUUGUGGUAAGGAGGUAUCAUUUUUAUGGUAAAAAGAAUUUCAUUUUCUUUCAUACUCCAUAUUAUGAUAAGAUAUUAUUAUUUGUUUAUUCAGUUAAUCUAUAAAUGGUGAAAAGUCCUGAAAGGAUUAGAAUAUUCUUAAUAGUUUGUGCUUCAUUUAUUAUUAUGUUAUCAAUUUAGACUAUGGAUAAUUAAGUUGAAAAUCAUUAAGAUCUAUGUUAUCUUAUUAUUAUGAUGAGUUAUGUUUAUUCAUUAUAUAUAUCAUUGUCAUCAUUCUCAUGUUUAUAUUGUGUUGAAAGUCAUCUUUGGCCCAUAGUGCAUAGAUGGACUUGGUAUGAUUAUGACCAGGAAUUAUUCGAUAUAAUCAUGACCGUAAUGUUAUAAAUGAUGUGGUAAAAGUCAUCUUUGGCCCGUAGUACAUAGAUGGACUUGGUAUGAUUAUGACCAGAGAUUAUUCGGUAUAAUCAUGAUCUUAGUUGAAAACACGAAUAUCCUUGGCCCGUAGUGCAUGGAUAAUUCGUGGUCGUGAUACUAUUAAGCUGAGUCUCAGCAUUAUUGGUUUUACAGUUGUAUAUCUUUGGCCUGUAGUGCAAAGAUGGACUGUUGGUCAUUGGUUUUACAGUUGUAUAUCUUUGGCAUGUAGUGCAAAGUUGGACUAUUGAUUUAUAUGAUUAUAAAUAUGAAUUGUGAUUUAAUUAUAAUCUGUGGUGGUUCAGGUGAAGACGGGUGAUGAGAGUUCUCCUUAUCUUGGGUAUAACCAAGAACUGUUGAUGAGUAUUACAUGAAUGAAAUAUUAACGAUGGACUUUUAAUCUAUGGGAGAUAGUAGACAUUAUGUUCUACUUGAUUCUUCUAAUGGAUUGUUGAUUCCGCUGCUAUUAUGGUUGAAAACUUUUAUCUUCUACCAUAUGUUAUAAAUAUCUGAAUUCUUUUGAUAAUUUAAUUAUCUUAAGUCAUGAUAUUCUUUACUGGGCUAUUUGUGCUCACCCUUUUACUUCACCACCCCUUUCAGGUAAUAAAAGUGUAGCUGUGACUAGCAGAGAGAACAUGAGUAUAAAGUGGUGAUACGAAUUUGUCACAAUCCUAAUCAACUUAUGAAACGGUGUGGUAUAAUAAUUGUACUGAAAACUUAAAAUGUGUGUGACAUGUUUUAUACAUCAUUUGAUAUUUAAUUUUGGUGAACAACAAUAGGGUGAGGUGAAUCAUAAUUUGGAAGCGUCAAAGGUGCACUCCAUUAGAAUGAGGAGAACCAAAAAUCUUCUCAUAUCCCUUCAAGGACUUGAUAUAUUUGUUGUUGUACUUUAUAUGGCAUUGUAAUAAUUUAAAUAUGAAUAUUGUCGUGUUAUAUACGUAACAAUAUUUGUAUUGAAACUCACAGUAUAGGAGUCGUCGUAUUUUGCUCGACAGUUGUAUAAAUGGAGUUGUAAGUAGUGUAUUUUCUGGCGACCCAAGAUGGGUGGCGUAUACCUAUUUUGGGGGCAUCACAAAAAUUAUUUUAGAGAGAUUAUUAAUUUAUGGAGUAUUAAUUUAUAGAGUU